UAUUUCUGUUUUAUUUUUGCUUCAAAAAUCUUUCAUUCAAGGCUAAGUAAAGUGAAGAUGCAUCAUCGGCACUGGGACUUGUAUCGCGUAUGCCUUGCUAGCACCAGGAUGAACCCCUUUUUGCCUUCAGAACUGCUUUUACUCUGUAACAUAGAGUCAACAAGGCACUGGAAAGAUUGCUCAUCUAUGAUAAAAAUCUACCAUUCCACCACAUACCAAAGGUGCUCUAUAGACUGAGAUCUAGUAACUUUGGAGGUCAUGUGAGUAAAGUGAACUCAUUUUCAUGCUCAAGAAAACCAGUUUGAAAUUUGUGAUUUGAGCUGUGUGACAUGGCAUAGUAUCCUGCUGGCAGCAGACCUCAUAAGAUGGGUAAGACCGUGAUCCUGAAUGAUCCUGAAUGGACAUGGUCAGUAACUGUACUCAGGUUGGUUGUACCAUUUUAAACUGUGCUCAAUGGCACUCAAAGGCCAUGUCAUUAGAUACAAGGUGUCAUGUGAUACAUAAAACUGUAUAAAUGAAAAAGGUUGUACUGAAAAUGACUGUCUGGAAGAACAUUCUCUUUCUUGCAAGCAGAUUCUGAUCUUACACUGCAUGUUUAACCAGUCGGGUUAGAUUCUGGGUCAAUUGUUAUUCUCCUUUUACAAGUUUCCUUUAGCCGCUAUCAAUCUUUUUUGGGCCUUUUUAAAAAAAAAUUUAAAAAAAUCAUUUUUAUGCCAGUGACAUUCAACUGUACAGACUGUCGUUCCUAGUUUGCUGUGAUCAGACAGUCGAUUAACAUUUCUAAAUAAAGUAUCACACCAACUGCAAAGCA